GAAAUAUUUUAAAAAAGCUUCUAACUUUUUAUUAGUGAAUAAUUCAUUAAUAUUUCU
rnacentral:tRNA from 1 species